UACGUAGGGAGCAAGCGUUGUUCGGAUUUACUGGGCGUAAAGGGCGCGUAGGCGGCAAUUCAAGUCAUCUGUGAAAUCUCCGGGCUUAACUCGGAACGGUCAGAUGAUACUGUCUUGCUAGAGUGCAGAAGGGGCAAUCGGAAUUCUUGGUGUAGCGGUGAAAUGCGUAGAUAUCAAGAGGAACACCUGAGGUGAAGACGGGUUGCUGGGCUGACACUGACGCUGAGGCGACGGAAAGCCCAGGGGAGCAAACGGG
rnacentral:rRNA from 1 species